rnacentral:rRNA from 1 species
GUCGAAAGGGGAAAUUCAUUCGCGUUUCGACCGUGUCGGAGUUGGGCGUUCGAGUGACGGACGGCGUUCGCGUCGACCGCGCCUUACGCCCUUUUUUUCUGACGUCGAACGCGUGCACUUUUCCCCUAGUAGGACGUCGCGAUCCGUUGGGUGUCUGUCUAAGACUCGAGGUGGAGCCCACGUGACUUCUUGGUCGCGUGGACCCUCGGUGUUCCGACAGACUCGCUCGACGGUAUGCUAAUGGCGUGGGGCCGCUACUCAGUUAGCGUUCGGCCCGCAGCAAGCGCGUUCUGUGUUUGACGGCGAUCGGACCUGGUGCCGAUUCUGUCCCGGAACGACUGUUGGUUGCGGUGUUCUCGAACAGACCUCAU